CCAAAGCAAGAACAAAGGAAGAAAAGAAAGAACAAGAACCCUAGGGUGAAAAUUCAAGAGAAAAUUGGUGGAUUUCAAGUAAUCAAGCAAUCAAAGGUAAAAUUUCUUGAUUUUGACUUGUGAUCUACCUUUCCCAUACAUUCUUUUGCAUUUUCCAUGGUUGAAUCACAUGAUUUCAUGAUGGGUAUCUUGCUGGCUGAACACUUAGAGAGAGGUUUUGAUGCUUGAUUUGGUUAGAUUUCAAUGUAUUUUAGUGUUUUUAGUUGAUUGGUGAUGUGUAGCAUGAAAAUCAAGCAAGAAAAAUUCAUGUUCUUCCAUCACCCAUCAUUGGCUGAAUUCUCCAUGUGGAAUAUUGAGGAUGAUUUUGAUUUUAUUUCAAGUGAUUUGGUUAGGAAUUAGUGAUUUAUGGUGUGAGAAUCAAGUAGGAAAAAUCAUAGUGUUGAUGCACCCACCAUGGCUGAAUUUUCCAAGAGAAAAUGUGAGGAUGAUUUUGCCAUAUUUCAAGUUAUUUAAUUUGUGUUUGAUGAUUUGGAGUAUUGGGAGAAAAAUGGAAUUAUUUGGAGUUAAAUUGGACAUAUUGGCCAAUUAAUCGGGUGAUAGAUCGAAUUAGGCCAAUAUCGUUUUAUUUAGGUACAUAAUUGAAUUUAUAUUGAACACCGUAUUUAGAUAGUUACCCAAGUAUUUCACAUCCCAUUUCAUGCAUUAGUAUAGAGCCUGAAUUGGUUUUAUAACAAUUUAGCACAAAUGUAGUAAAUGGCUUAUUGCGCAUUAUGUCUACGUGGUGAGCAUUAUGGCAAAAGUAAAGAGAUAGUACCCGAGGAUCAAGAAUCGGAGUACUCGAAAUUCGACUCACGAAAUAGUGAGUAACCUUACUAUCGUCUUAAUUAUCUAAAGUAGUUUUUAUUCAUUGUGAUUUUAUAGAAAAAUAUGUUUAAAUGGUAAAUCUUUAGGUUUUAUAAACAAAAUGUGUUUAAAUGAAAUGAUUUUAUAAAUUGUCUUGAAAUUUAAUGAUGGUUUUGAAAAUGGAGUAAUUGGAGACUAAUUGCUGUGUUAUAAAUCAUGGUUUGAAUGGAAUGGCUUAUGAUAAUAUUGGCAUGAAUGGUUGAAUUGGUAUUUGUGUUGAAAAUGCAUAAACUGUUGUUUGCCUUGAUAGGCUAGAUAAUAAUAAAAUUGCCAUGUCAUGCUAUUGAAUUUUACUGAAUUGGUGGGUUAUUGAUUAGUCGCUGCAGUGGACGGGUUUCGUAGACCAGCCUAUUAGAGGGGGCACGGUAACCCUAUUAUAUUCAUACCUCAGUAUAAGAGGCGCGGUUGGAUAACUCUUGAGGUUAACACUUUAGAGUUCACUUCACGCCAAACCACCACGUGAGGGUGAACUCAGCUAAUGCCAAGGAAUGACUAUGUUUUCAAAAUAAAAACAUGACUUAUGCGUACAUAACUUUUUAUCAGCCUUGGCGGACUCAGUUGGGAUAGCCCUCGACCAAGGUAUCCCUGAUAACUGAGUAUAAGAAUGAUUUUGGCAUGAGCCAAAGCUUUUAAUAAAUUCAUAAGCCAUGUUGAUUAUUCGAUUUAUAUGAAUUGAUUUUAUUUGGUUGAAACGAGUUGAAAGGUGAUGAAUUACAGUAUGUUAAACUAUUUUAUCUGUCUCCAUUGACUCAACUUUAGAUAUUUUAGAUGAUAUUUGUUUACUUACUGAGAUUAUAUAAUCUCACCACCCUCCUUUCCACCCAUUUCAGGCUCAUGAUAGUAGGUAAAUAGCUCACUUUGUUGAGGGCUACAGUUGGACUUGCAUCCCUAAAAACUGUAAGUUAACCGCUUUUGAUACUUUUGGUCGUUCGUGGGCCCACGUGUCACUGUAAAUUAAAUUUUAUACUUUGGUUAUCUGUAUUACAGUAUUUAUAAAUUUAUUUAGCUCUUACGCUACAAAAAUUAUAUACCGGUAACUCAUAUAUAUUGUUUUAUA
rnacentral:lncRNA from 1 species